rnacentral:rRNA from 1 species
AUGCUUUACGGCUUAGAAUCGGGACUUCAACGACGUUUUGAACAUCAAGGAGCAUAUGAGAUGUUCCAGGAGUUGAAGUUAAUAUUUCAAGGAAAUGCCCGGAUUGAGAGAUAUGAAGUCUCCAAUAAGUUCUACAGCUGCAAAAUGGAGGAGAAUAGUUCUGCCAGUGAACACAUACUCAGAAUGUCUGGGUACCACAACCAUUUGACUCAACUGGAAGUUAAUCUUCCUGUUGAUAGUGUCAUUGACAGAGUUCUUCAAUCACUGCCACCAAGCUACAAAAGCUUCGUGAUGAACUAUAAUAUGCAAGGGAUGGAUAAG